rnacentral:rRNA from 1 species
AUUGAACGCUGGCGGCAUGCUUUACACAUGCAAGUCGAACGGUAACAGCACUUCGGUGGCUGACGAGUGGCGAACGGGUGAGUAAUACAUCGGAACGUGCCUAGUAGUGGGGGAUAACUACUCAAAAGAGUAGCUAAUACCGCAUGAGAGCUAAGGUUGAAAACAGGGGACCUUCGUGCCUGACGCUACUAUAGCUGCUGAUUGUAGAUUAGGUAGUUGGUGGGGUAAAAGCUUACCAAGCCGACGAUCUGUAGCGGGUCUGAGAGGACGACCAGCCACACUGGAACUGAGACACGGCCCAGACUCCUACGGGAGGCAGCAGUGGGGAAUUUUGGACAAUGGGCGCAAGCCUGAUCCAGCAAUGCCGCGUGAAGGAUGAAGGUCUUCGGGUUGUAAACUGCUUUUGUACGGAAAGAAAAACUCUCUUCGAAUACGGGAGGGUCAUGACGGUACCGAAAGAAUAAGCACCGGCUAACUACGUG